rnacentral:ribozyme from 1 species
AAUAACAAAAGCUCAAAAAAAGUGCAGGAACAACAGAGACAAUCGCCAACAAAGACACAAAGACUCGGUAAAAGAGUUUCUCUUUACCAUUUUCUUCCCCUCUCCUCUCUCUUUUCUUCUUCUCUUUC